rnacentral:rRNA from 1 species
GUGGGGAAUAUUGCACAAUGGGCGCAAGCCUGAUGCAGCCAUGCCGCGUGUAUGAAGAAGGCCUUCGGGUUGUAAAGUACUUUCAGCGAGGAGGAAGGCAUUAAGGUUAAUAACCUUAGUGAUUGACGUUACUCGCAGAAGAAGCACCGGCUAACUCCGUGCCAGCAGCCGCGGUAAUACGGAGGGUGCAAGCGUUAAUCGGAAUUACUGGGCGUAAAGCGCACGCAGGCGGUUUGUUAAGUCGGAUGUGAAAUCCCCGGGCUCAACCUGGGAACUGCAUUCGAAACUGGCAAGCUUGAGUCUUGUAGAGGGGGGUAGAAUUCCAGGUGUAGCGGUGAAAUGCGUAGAGAUCUGGAGGAAUACCGGUGGCGAAGGCGGCCCCCUGGACAAAGACUGACGCUCAGGUGCGAAAGCGUGGGGAGCAAACAGG